UGGGGAAUAUUGCACAAUGGGGGAAACCCUGAUGCAGCGACGCCGCGUGAACGAAGAAGGUAUUCGUAUCGUAAAGUUCUGUCCUAUGGGAAGAUAAUGACAGUACCAUAGAAGAAAGCUCCGGCUAAAUACGUGCCAGCGGCCGCGGUAAUACGUAUGGAGCGAGCGUUGUCCGGAAUUAUUGGGCGUAAAGGGUACGCAGGCGGUUUAAUAAGUCGAAUGUUAAAGAUCGGGGCUCAACCCCGCAAAGCAUUGGAAACUGAUAAACUUGAGUAGUGGAGAGGAAAGUGGAAUUCCUAGUGUAGUGGUGAAAUACGUAGAUAUUAGGAGGAAUACCAGUAGCGAAGGCGACUUUCUGGACACAAACUGACGCUGAGGUACGAAAGCGUGGGGAGCAAACAGG
rnacentral:rRNA from 1 species